UUUGGAAGGACCCCAUGCCAGUGAGGUACACCUGGCUUCUGCAGGAUGGGGAUGCUCCCCGCCCCCAACCCCGUGACCCGGCCCCCGGGCCCUGGGCCCACCGGAUGAGCAAUUGGAGACGCCCCCAGUUCGUGAUGGGUGCAGGGCGCCCCAGAUCGUGAUGGGUGCAGGAUGCCCCCAGACCCCGGCGGUGCAAGCACCAGCCAGACCCUGUCCUGGGCGCUUGCGCAAGGGCCUGGCUCCACCUCGGACACCAGCAGCCCCCCACCCCCACCCGGGUGGCCCUGCGGCCCAUCCUGCCGCUCCCCAAAUCCCUCACGUCCCGCUCUGUGACAAGGGGGCCUGCAGAUGACAAAGUGGAUGUGGACUCCAUCCCUGCCCUGAGCUGCCGUGAAGAGAGCCUCUCCCAGAGGAGCAGGAAGAGAAGAUUGACACUCACUGGGCUGAACCCUUACCUGGAGGGUGCUGUGAAAUGCUCAUGCCAAGUCAGAGGGUGUGAGUGGAGGGGACAUGAACUGAGAGGAGGUGCAGAGAAUACCCCAGAGCCCAGAGACUGAGAAUAACCAGCCACCCCCACAUAUGAAGUCUUAACUUCAUAUUUUUGGCAUUGUGAUAGCAGGAAAGAAAUGUGAACACCAUUAAAUGGUACUUGAAAAAAAUACUAACCUCUUCUGGGCUAAUAAAAUGGGAUACAAUAUCA